rnacentral:rRNA from 1 species
AUUGAACGCUGGCGGCAGGCCUAACACAUGCAAGUCGAACGGUAGCACAGAGAGCUUGCUCUCGGGUGACGAGUGGCGGACGGGUGAGUAAUGUCUGGGAAACUGCCCGAUGGAGGGGGAUAACUACUGGAAACGGUAGCUAAUACCGCAUAAUGUCGCAAGACCAAAGAGGGGGACCUUCGGGCCUCUUGCCAUCGGAUGUGCCCAGAUGGGAUUAGCUAGUUGGUGAGGUAAUGGCUCACCAAGGCGACGAUCCCUAGCUGGUCUGAGAGGAUGACCAGCCACACUGGAACUGAGACACGGUCCAGACUCCUACGGGAGGCAGCAGUGGGGAAUAUUGCACAAUGGGCGCAAGCCUGAUGCAGCCAUGCCGCGUGUAUGAAGAAGGCCUUCGGGUGGUAAAGUACUUUCAGCGGGGAGGAAGGCAAUGCGGUUAAUAACCGUGUUGAUUGACGUUACCCGCAGAAGAAGCACCGGCUAACUCCGUG